rnacentral:rRNA from 1 species
GACGUAGGGGGCCAGCGUUGGUUCGGAAUUACUGGGUGUAAAGGGUUCGUAGGCGGUGUUCUAAGUCUGUUGUGAAAUCUCCCGGCUUAACUGGGAGGGUGCGGCGGAAACUGGAAUGCUAGAGGAUGGGAGAGGUAAGCGGAAUUCCUGGUGUAGCGGUGAAAUGCGUAGAUAUCAGGAGGAACACCUGUGGUGUAGACAGCUUACUGGACCAUUUCUGACGCUGAGACACGAAAGCGUGGGUAGCAAACAGG